rnacentral:rRNA from 1 species
GGACCAUCAUGUCGGUCGUGCCUCGGUACGUACUGGUAUUGUUGGUUUCUCCCUUCUGACGAACCAUGAUGUCAUUUAUUUGGUGUUGUGGGAAAUCAGGACUGUUACUUUGAAAAAAUUAGAGUGUUUAAAGCAGGCAUAUGCCCGAAUACAUUAGCAUGGAAUAAUGAAAUAGGACGUUUUGAUUCUAUUUUGUUGGUUUCUAGGAUCGACGUA